rnacentral:rRNA from 1 species
CCUUUUGCUACGGAAUAACGCAGGGAAACUUGUGCUAAUACCGUAUGUGUCCUUCGGGAGAAAGAUUUAUCGGCAAGAGAUGAGCCCGCGUUGGAUUAGCUAGUUGGUGGGGAAAAGGCCUACCAAGGCGACGAUCCAUAGCUGGUCUGAGAGGAUGAUCACCCACAUUGGGACUGAGACACGGCCCAAACUCCUACGGGAGGCAGCAGUGGGGAAUAUUGGACAAUGGGCGCAAGCCUGAUCCAGCCAUGCCGCGUGAGUGAUGAAGGCCCUAGGGGUGUAAAGCUCUUUCACCGGAGAAGAUAAUGACGGUAUCCGGAGAAGAAGCCCCGGCUAACUUCGUGCCAGCAGCCGCGGAAAUACGAAGGGGGCUAGCGUUGUUCGGAAUUACUGGGCGAAAAGCGCACGGAGGCGGAUCGAUCAGUCGGGGGUGAAAUCCCAGGCCUCAACCCUGAAACUGCCUUUGAUACUGUCGAUCUGGAGUAUGUAAGAGGUGAGUGUAAUUCCGAGAGUAGAGGCGAAAUUCGUAGAUAUUCGGAGGAACACUGGUGGCGAAGGCGGCUCACUGCCCCAUUACUGACGCUGAGGUGUGAAAGCGUGGAGAGCAAACAGGAUUAGAUACGCUGGCACUCCACGCUGUAAACCAUGAAUGUUAGCCGUCGAGCAGUAUACUGUUCUCUGCCGCAGCUAUCGCACUAAUCAUUCCGACUGUGGAGUCUG